rnacentral:lncRNA from 1 species
AUUGAAGUGAAGACAUCUAAAGAUUGAGUUAGAGAAGAGUCCUAAUCACUUUCACAUUCGACAAACAAAUUCCGAUCUCGUUAGAAGUGUGUUGUAGCAAAUAAAGUCCCCCAUCCUUUUGUUGAAUCCUGUUUUGUUCAUAUAGAUAUAGAUGAGGAGAUGGGCAAAGCUUCAGUGAUUAUCUACAUCACAAUUGCUGUGCUCCUUCUACUCCUCAUCUCUCAGUCUCCUUCUAACAAAGCUAAGCGUCAUGGUCAUCGGCGACUCAAGCUGCGAUCCAACUUCACUUUUGACUCACAUCGUACCCACCAUGAACGCAUUCCCUUUGACCCUUUAGUUGCUAAAAUCGAGCGCCAACGUGAGGAUAAAGAAUGGGAGAAGCAGUACAUUGACACACACCAUCCCGAAUUAAUACAUGAACAUGCUCCUGGUGAAGAAUCCCAACCUGAAUGGGAAGACUUUAUGGAUGCUGAAGAUUAUAUCAAUGAUGAAGACAAGUUCAAUGUUACUGAGAGGCUUGUAUUAUUGUUCCCAAAGAUUGAUGUCGACCCAUCUGAUGGUUUCGUGACUGAGCAGGAGUUGACUGAGUGGAAUCUAUAUUUUAAAACUUACUUUUUUCAAAUUAUUAUUUCUGUUUUUUUUUUUUUUUUUUGGAAGAUUGAAGUGAAGACAUCUAAAGAUUGAGUUAGAGAAGAGUCCUAAUCACUUUCACAUUCGACAAACAAAUUCCGAUCUCGUUAGAAGUGUGUUGUAGCAAAUAAAGUCCCCCAUCCUUUUGUUGAAUCCUGUUUUGUUCAUAUAGAUAUAGAUGAGGAGAUGGGCAAAGCUUCAGUGAUUAUCUACAUCACAAUUGCUGUGCUCCUUCUACUCCUCAUCUCUCAGUCUCCUUCUAACAAAGCUAAGCGUCAUGGUCAUCGGCGACUCAAGCUGCGAUCCAACUUCACUUUUGACUCACAUCGUACCCACCAUGAACGCAUUCCCUUUGACCCUUUAGUUGCUAAAAUCGAGCGCCAACGUGAGGAUAAAGAAUGGGAGAAGCAGUACAUUGACACACACCAUCCCGAAUUAAUACAUGAACAUGCUCCUGGUGAAGAAUCCCAACCUGAAUGGGAAGACUUUAUGGAUGCUGAAGAUUAUAUCAAUGAUGAAGACAAGUUCAAUGUUACUGAGAGGCUUGUAUUAUUGUUCCCAAAGAUUGAUGUCGACCCAUCUGAUGGUUUCGUGACUGAGCAGGAGUUGACUGAGUGGAAUCUGGGGCAGAGCAGAAAGGAGGUC